rnacentral:rRNA from 1 species
GGUUAAGCGACUAAGCGUACACGGUGGAUGCCCUGGCAGUCAGAGGCGAUGAAGGGCGUGCUAAUCUGCGAUAAGCGCCGGUAAGGUGAUAUGAACCGUUAUAACCGGCGAUACCCGAAUGGGGAAACCCAGUGUGACUCGUCACACUAUCAUUAACUGAAUCCAUAGGUUAAUGAGGCGAACCGGGGGAACUGAAACAUCUAAGUACCCCGAGGAAAAGAAAUCAACCGAGAUUCCCCCAGUAGCGGCGAGCGAACGGGGAGGAGCCCAGAGCCUGAAUCAGCAUGUGUGUUAGUGGAAGCGUCUGGAAAGGCGCGCGAUACAGGGUGACAGCCCCGUACACAAAAGCGCAUGUGCUGUGAGCUCGAUGAGUAGGGCGGGACACGUGGUAUCCUGUCUGAAUAUGGGGGGACCAUCCUCCAAGGCUAAAUACUCCUGACUGACCGAUAGUGAACCAGUACCGUGAGGGAAAGGCGAAAAGAACCCCGGCGAGGGGAGUGAAAAAGAACCUGAAACCGUGUACGUACAAGCAGUGGGAGCACAGGUUUACCUGUGUGACUGCGUACCUUUUGUAUAAUGGGUCAGCGACUUAUAUUCUGUAGCAAGGUUAACCGAAUAGGGGAGCCGGAGGGAAACCGAGUCUUAACUGGGCGUUAAGUUGCAGGGUAUAGACCCGAAACCCGGUGAUCUAGCCAUGGGCAGGUUGAAGGUUGGGUAACACUAACUGGAGGACCGAACCGACUAAUGUUGAAAAAUUAGCGGAUGACCUGUGGCUGGGGGUGAAAGGCCAAUCAAACCGGGAGAUAGCUGGUUCUCCCCGAAAGCUAUUUAGGUAGCGCCUCGUGAACUCAUCUCCGGGGGUAGAGCACUGUUUCGGCUAGGGGGCCAUCCCGGCUUACCAACCCGAUGCAAACUGCGAAUACCGGAGAAUGUUAUCACGGGAGACACACGGCGGGUGCUAACGUCCGUCGUGAAGAGGGAAACAACCCAGACCGCCAGCUAAGGUCCCAAAGUCAUGGUUAAGUGGGAAACGAUGUGGGAAGGCCCAGACAGCCAGGAUGUUGGCUUAGAAGCAGCCAUCAUUUAAAGAAAGCGUAAUAGCUCACUGGUCGAGUCGGCCUGCGCGGAAGAUGUAACGGGGCUAAACCAUGCACCGAAGCUGCGGCAGCGACACUGUGUGUUGUUGGGUAGGGGAGCGUUCUGUAAGCCUGCGAAGGUGGCCUGUGAGGGUUGCUGGAGGUAUCAGAAGUGCGAAUGCUGACAUAAGUAACGAUAAAGCGGGUGAAAAGCCCGCUCGCCGGAAGACCAAGGGUUCCUGUCCAACGUUAAUCGGGGCAGGGUGAGUCGACCCCUAAGGCGAGGCCGAAAGGCGUAGUCGAUGGGAAACGGGUUAAUAUUCCCGUACUUGGUGUUACUGCGAAGGGGGGACGGAGAAGGCUAUGUUGGCCGGGCGACGGUUGUCCCGGUUUAAGCGUGUAGGUGUGUGUUCCAGGUAAAUCCGGUUCACUUUAACACUGAGGCGUGACGACGAGGCACUACGGUGCUGAAGCAACAAAUGCCCUGCUUCCAGGAAAAGCCUCUAAGCAUCAGGUAACAUCAAAUCAAAUCGUACCCCAAACCGACACAGGUGGUCAGGUAGAGAAUACCAAGGCGCUUGAGAGAACUCGGGUGAAGGAACUAGGCAAAAUGGUGCCGUAACUUCGGGAGAAGGCACGCUGACACGUAGGUGAAGUGAUUUACUCAUGGAGCUGAAGUCAGUCGAAGAUACCAGCUGGCUGCAACUGUUUAUUAAAAACACAGCACUGUGCAAACACGAAAGUGGACGUAUACGGUGUGACGCCUGCCCGGUGCCGGAAGGUUAAUUGAUGGGGUCAGCGCAAGCGAAGCUCCUGAUCGAAGCCCCGGUAAACGGCGGCCGUAACUAUAACGGUCCUAAGGUAGCGAAAUUCCUUGUCGGGUAAGUUCCGACCUGCACGAAUGGCGUAAUGAUGGCCAGGCUGUCUCCACCCGAGACUCAGUGAAAUUGAACUCGCUGUGAAGAUGCAGUGUACCCGCGGCAAGACGGAAAGACCCCGUGAACCUUUACUAUAGCUUGACACUGAACAUUGAGCCUUGAUGUGUAGGAUAGGUGGGAGGCUUUGAAGUGUGGACGCCAGUCUGCAUGGAGCCGACCUUGAAAUACCACCCUUUAAUGUUUGAUGUUCUAACGUGGACCCGUUACCCGGGUUGCGGACAGUGUCUGGUGGGUAGUUUGACUGGGGCGGUCUCCUCCUAAAGAGUAACGGAGGAGCACGAAGGUUGGCUAAUCCUGGUCGGACAUCAGGAGGUUAGUGCAAUGGCAUAAGCCAGCUUGACUGCGAGCGUGACGGCGCGAGCAGGUGCGAAAGCAGGUCAUAGUGAUCCGGUGGUUCUGAAUGGAAGGGCCAUCGCUCAACGGAUAAAAGGUACUCCGGGGAUAACAGGCUGAUACCGCCCAAGAGUUCAUAUCGACGGCGGUGUUUGGCACCUCGAUGUCGGCUCAUCACAUCCUGGGGCUGAAGUAGGUCCCAAGGGUAUGGCUGUUCGCCAUUUAAAGUGGUACGCGAGCUGGGUUUAGAACGUCGUGAGACAGUUCGGUCCCUAUCUGCCGUGGGCGCUGGAGAACUGAGGGGGGCUGCUCCUAGUACGAGAGGACCGGAGUGGACGCAUCACUGGUGUUCGGGUUGUCAUGCCAAUGGCACUGCCCGGUAGCUAAAUGCGGAAGAGAUAAGUGCUGAAAGCAUCUAAGCACGAAACUUGCCCCGAGAUGAGUUCUCCCUGAGACUUAGAGUCUCCUGAAGGAACGUUGAAGACGACGACGUUGAUAGGCCGGGUGUGUAAGCGCAGCGAUGCGUUGAGCUAACCGGUACUAAUGAACCGUGAGGCUUAACCUU